AUGGACUGUGGUUUAACUGAUUUGGGUUUCUCGGGCCCCAAAUUUACAUGGUGCAACAAGCAGGAGUCGAACUGCCAUGUCAAAAGCCGUCUUGACCGGGCUGUGGCAAAUGGAGCUUUCACCAGUUUGUUUGAUCUCUCUUGGGUGGAGAAUUUAAUAGCCACUACCUCUGAUCACUACCCCAUACUUAUUUCCUUGGGCUUUAAUUAUCUUCAGAGCCGCCCUACACUAGUCCAACAGGGUUUCAAGUUUGAAGCUAUGUGGCUGCGCGCGGAGGAUUACAAAGAAACUUUCGAACAGGCAUGGUCGGAUGGUAGGGAUGGCAGCCCUUCCCUGCAGUCUACAUGGUCUAACUUAAAGCAUGUUGCUGGUUCUCUGCGGAAUUGGAGCAGGGAGGCUUUUGGUAAUAUCCGGCGGAAGAUCGGAAGUUGGAGCGUCGCCUUGCUUCUAUUAGCCUCGACCCCUUCCCCUUCUUUGCUUUCGGAGGAGCGGUCUAUCGAGAGCCCACUUUGUGAGCUUUUCGAGCGGGAGGAGAUAAUGGAGAGGCGGCUUUCCCGCAUCGACUGGCUUAAGGCGGGUGACCGAAAUACAGAAUUCUUCCAUGCUCGAGCGACAGCACGACGGAGGACGAACAGAAUUCAGUCGCUUAUCUGUGAGGAUGGCUCUAUUUGCAGCUCCCAGGGGGAAAUAAAAAGCAUGGUGCGGAGUUUUUAUGACAAGCUAUUCACUUCUGAACCAUGCCCAAAAGCUGACGAGGUCAUUGAAGCUAUUCCUCAAAAGAUCACGGCUGAGAUGAAUGAAGAAUUGUGCAAGCCAUAUAGUAAUGAGGAAUUAGAACAACCCUUUUCCAAAUGGGUCCAACGAAAGCCCCGGGUCCUGAUGGGUUCCCGGCUCUUUUCUACCAAGCUCAUUGGAAUUUUCUUGAAGAGGAUAUUUGCCAAGCUGCGAGGGGAUUCAUCGAGGGAAGACCUAUUCCAGAGGGGUUUUGUGAUUCUGUGA
rnacentral:rRNA from 1 species